ACUCCUACGGGAGGCAGCAGUGGGGAAUUUUGCGCAAUGGGGGAAACCCUGACGCAGCAACGCCGCGUGGAGGAUGAAGUCCCUUGGGAUGUAAACUCCUUUCGACCGGGACGAUAAUGA
rnacentral:rRNA from 1 species